CGCGAAGAACCUUACCUGGUCUUGACAUCCAUAGAAUUUCUUAGAAAUAAGAAAGUGCCUUUUAGGAACUAUGAGACAGGUGCUGCAUGGCUGUCGUCAGCUCGUGUUGUGAAAUGUUGGGUUAAGUCCCGCAACGAGCGCAACCCUUUUCCUUUUUUGCCAGCGGUUCGGCCGGGAACUACAAGGAUACUGCCGGUUAUAAACCGGAGGAAGGUGGGGACGACGUCAAGUCAUCAUGGCCCUUACGACCAGGGCUACACACGUGCUACAAUGGUACAUACAAAGAGAAGCAAAUUCGCGAGGAUAAGCAAAUCUCAUAAAGUGUAUCUUAGUUCGGACUGGAGUCUGCAACUCGACUCCACGAAGUCGGAAUCGCUAGUAAUCGUGAAUCAGAAUGUCA
rnacentral:rRNA from 7 species